UACGGAGGGUGCAAGCGUUGUCCGGAUUUAUUGGGUUUAAAGGGUGCGUAGGCGGGUUAGUAAGUCAGUGGUGAAAGCCGGCAGCUCAACUGUCGAAUUGCCAUUGAUACUGUUAACCUUGAGUAUAGUUGAGGUAGGCGGAAUGAGUCGUGUAGCGGUGAAAUGCAUAGAUAUGACUCAGAACACCGAUAGCGUAGGCAGCUUACUAAGCUAUAACUGACGCUGAGGCACGAAAGCGUGGGGAGCGAACAGG
rnacentral:rRNA from 1 species